CCUACGGGAGGCAGCAGUGGGGAAUAUUGGGCAAUGGGCGCAAGCCUGACCCAGCAACGCCGCGUGAAGGAAGAAGGCCCUCGGGUUGUAAACUUCUUUUAUCAGGGACGAAGCAAGUGACGGUACCUGAUGAAUAAGCCACGGCUAAAUACGUGCCAGCAGCCGCGGUAAUACGUAGGUGGCAAGCGUUAUCCGGAUUUACUGGGUGUAAAGGGCGUCGAGGCGGGAAAGCAAGUCAGAUGUGAAAACCAUGGGCUCAACCUGUGGCCUGCAUUUGAAACUGUUUUUCUUGAGUACUGGAGAGGCAGACGGAAUGCGUAGUGUAGCGGUGAAAUGCGUAGAUAUUAGGAGGAACACCAGUGGCGAAGGCGGUCUGCUGGACAGCAACUGACGCUGAGGCGCGAAAGCGUGGGGAGCAAACAGGAUUAGAUACCCGAGUAGUC
rnacentral:rRNA from 1 species